rnacentral:rRNA from 1 species
CAGCACCUCAAGUGGUCAGGAUGAUUAUUGGGUCUAAAGCAUCCGUAGCCGGCUCUGUAAGUUUUCGGUUAAAUCUGUAUGCUCAACAUACAGGCUGCCGGGAAUACUGCAGAGCUAGGGAGUGGGAGAGGUAGACGGUACUCGGUAGGAAGGGGUAAAAUCCUUUGAUCUAUUGAUGACCACCUGUGGCGAAGGCGGUCUACCAGAACACGUCCGACGGUGAGGGAUGAAAGCUGGGGGAGCAAACCGGAUUAGAUACCCGAGUAGUCC